UUCAGUGAAUCACCGUGCCCUCUGGAUUAUACUUUCUAAGAUGGAUGUCCUGAUAAAUACAUCAAAUGUCCUAAAAUUGCUUUAUGAUAACAUGAAAGCGACUGUUCUGAGCAGCACUGGCUCCCAGAGCGAACCUUUCAAAGAACAAACAGGAGUCAAACAGGGCUGUAUCAUCGCUCCAACCACGUUUGCGGUUUUUAUUGCCGUCACUCUUUACCUAAUUGCUGGGCAGAUGACAGCUGGCGUUGAAAUCAUUUACCGAAUGGACGGAAAGCUGUUCAGGCUUAGCAGGCUGAAAGCCAAGAGAGAGAUCUCCACAACAUCUAUGGUGGAACUUCAGUCUGCUGAUGACAACACAAUCUUCGCCCACUCUGAGAAAGAUCUUCAAACUAACUUGAAUGUGUCUGCCGAUGCUUACGCAUGUCUUGGUUUCACUCUUAACAUCAAGAAGACUAAAGUGCUCUAUCAGCCCUCUCCAAAUGAGGUAUUACAUGCCCCAUCUAUCAAAAUCAAUGGAGUGGCACUGGAGAAUGUCAAUCAUUUCCUCUCCCGUGGAAGUCAUCUUUCAUCCAAGGCAGAUAUUGAUGCAGAAAUUCAACAUCGCCUGAGCUGUGACAGUGUAGCUUUUUUUCAUUUACAGCACAGGUUUUUUUGAAGAUCAUGACAUUCAAACAGACACCAAGCUUCUUGUUUAUUAAGCCAUUAUUCUCCCAAAACUGUUGUAUGGGUCCGAAACUUGGACAACCUAUAGACACCACUUGAAAGUUCUUGAGAGGCACCACCAACGCUGCCUUCGUAAGAUUCUGAAGAUCAAAUGGGAAGACAGGCGCACCAAUAUUAGUGUUCUGGAAGAGGCACAGACCACCAGUAUCGAGGCAAUGAUAAUCAGUCAGCAAGUCCGCUGGACUACUCACGUUGUCCGGAUGCCAGACCAUCGCCUCUCAAAACAGGUCCUGUUCUCUCAGCUGAAAGAAGGGUACCGUAACGUGGGUGGACAACGGAAGUGUUAUAAGGACUUGCUGAAGACAACCUAAAACACUGACACUUGGGAGAUACUUGCCCAGGAUCACUUAAAAUGGAGUGAAGUCCUACGUGAUGGUCCCCUGCAGUUUGGACUUGCUCGCCGACAACCCGAAGAGGAUAAGAGGAGGAAGGGGAGACUGGUCUCCAGUCAUGGUCAACAGCCUCUUGCUGAGCCUGAAAACAUCUGCCCUCAUUGUAAUAGCACUUGUGGUUCAAGGAUUGGCCACCUGAGGACCCAUAGUUCCCAUGGAAGAUGAUCAUACUGGGUAACGAGUGAUUGCCCCAUCAUCAGAAAUCUUAAACUGUCUGCCAGUAUCACUCAUGUGGCGUAAGUGCCUACGCUGCGCAGUUAUGUGACAAUAUGGAUAACUGGGGCAGGGCGGAUGGUCCCUUUGACAAGUGGCUUGAUUUGAUGGCACACGAGCAGUUCUUGCGGGUAGUCACUGAUGAGGUAAAAGCGGCGCCGCCUGUGACAAAAAACCUCCCACCGUUUUGGAGGCAGCAGAAAUUGCUGAUGAAUAAGUUGAGUCAAGGACUCAGGAGAGGCGCAACCCCCAGGAGAAGGGUUUCCCCAGGUCAAAAUGAGGGGUCUAGGAGAAACCUAACUCCAACUUUGUUAAAAAACCUCCAGGGAGCCCAGAUUUUAAAGCCGCUUACACUAAGGGAAGGCAGGCUCGGCCAUCUCUGUGGGGCUCUUGGUCAUAGAAAACCAAAUUGCCCAGAACUUAAGGUCAUCCCACAAUCUGCACUCUCAGCCCCCGCUGUACAUGCCACAGCUCCCACUGUGAGCGCUAAUGCUGCCCCCUGGAUCCCAGAGGAAGUUGUGGUGGAAGAGAACGGCCUCAUAACCUGUAUUGGGACUGAGUCUGGGGACGGUAGUGAGGAGUUUAUUAAGAGUGAAUGGCAUUGAGUGUGCCGGGCGGAGGGACACGGCCUCCCAAGUUACUUUGGUUAAGGACAGUUUUGUGAGGGAGGAGGACAGACAGCCAGGCAAAAGUCUGAAUAUUUUGGCUUAGGCUGCAUUUCCUGUGACUGUGCCUCUGGUUAAAGUCCACCAUGAGGGGGAAGGUUUUCAGGGUGACGUUGUGGCCGGCAUUAGGAAUUUGCUGCCAGCUGAUAUUUGAAUAGAUGUGAACCCCAAGAACCUACUGGUUUUGCUCCCCUGCUUCUGUAUGGGAGGCAGGUGAGGGGACUCCUAGAUUUGAUUCGAAGCUCUUGGGAACACAGUACAGAGGAAACAGGACAGCCGGUGAAGGAGAAUUUGCAGGUGGCUGGAACCUUAAGAAAAGUCAGGCGAGUCAGAAAGCUUGGUAGGAUCGGCCUGCUGAGGAAAGGUCACUUGAUAGCGGUGAUCUGGUGUGAAUGCUGAUGCCGGUGAGGAAAACCAAAAGGCGGGAUUACUGGGAAGUACUUUUUGAGCCAAAGUGUGUGCUCGCACUGAGAUGUGAAUGUACUCGACGGGUGAACUUCAUGAAAACAAAGGAGGGCUCGUUGUGGGCUAUUCCAUUGCCACGUACACAGCGUCUAGCCCGGUAAUGACGUUUACCCACCAAACGCGACUGGAGCCUUGGAAAUGUAAACGAAGAAGGUUGCUAACUUUAAAGCAAGGGCCAUUGAGUACUCGGUGGGAAUUCACAGACACAGUUUGCAUCCCUCACGCACCGCCAGCCAAGGAAGGCCCACGCUGGUACAGAACCCGCCAGUGAGCUUUCUGGGUGAAGAAGACAUAAAAGAUGGAUUGGAGAUGAAGGAUCUUUCCUUGAAACUGUUUGGCCACUCACAGGGAAGCCUUCCACAUGGAAGACACAGAUCCCCAAAGUUACUCUGCGUAUCCCUGAGAGACUCAUGGAAAACUCCCAGAUCACCACCUCUCUGCUACCGCUUUGGACUUACAAACCUGGGCUCACCUGUUACUGUAUUUUACCUGCUUUAACCUCUCAGUAGCUCAUUCCCUUUGCUGAGCUAAUAAACCCUUAGAGAAAUCA